CAAACAGAGGCGUGUGGGCGUGGCGGAAGUUUGGCCUAAGGUUUCUCUCUGCCCGGAUUUGAACCCGGGUCCUUUCGCUUGCGAGGCAAGUGUUCUAACUGCUACGCUACGGGACAGUUUAAGCAGUUCAGCGUUUCGGGCACUCUUUCACCGGUUGCCUCGUACGGUGGAUUGCAUGACCAAAUGAAUAUUAUUUGCCCGGGAACCGAACCAUUACGCCACAGGACUCCAGCCGGGAGCUGACAAAGGUGUGGAUAAAGACCAGUGAACGCAUCCACCGGUCCUCGUUCUUUAUCCCCCUCAGACAAUGUGCGACUUAGCACCGUAGGUGUUAAUUAACAUAUCCCUCACCGCAAUUUUCACCUCAUCGCCUGGUCUCUUUUUGAACCCCGCGAGGACUCUCCCGUCAUUCCCUAUCGCUCUCAACCUACAUUCCUGCUGCCAAGUCCUGCAGGAGAGCUAUCAGACCGAGCCAGGCUGCUUUUCGGAACAAAAGCACCGAGAUGUCAGGAAGAUCUCAUUAGUAGAAUCAGCACGAUAAAGGGCAAAGCAGAACGACUCUUGGGCUCGCUGGAUCCCAUUGCUCUCGAGUCUAGAGCCUCGGCACUUUUGCAAACAGCCACUCCGCUUGACGGUACACUCGCCGUGCGCGACGGCUCGAGGGGGGAGUGAGUGGAGAGGAGCCAACAGGGAACCGCUGGACCCCAAUCUCCCGACGGCACCCUCCGAAAGCCCCAGUACCCGGGUGAAACGGGAAAUACCACACAUCGCCGGUCACUUAGCCUAACGCUGAGAUCGAAGGGCCCCCCACCCCACCCCAAAAAAAACGAUGGCUUAACGGAGGAGUCUAAUUCAUUUCGCUUUAAGGAAAGCUUUCCAGAAUUGGUGUUGGCUGCCUUUCAGAAAUGAAGACAUUGGAAAGUCGAUUACAUUUCCAAUUGUGGGUUUGUAACGAGUCUUUUUUUAUAUAUGUAAUGCCUUCUCUGGCGCUCUUCUUGGCAGAAGUAAUAGCGCACUUGUUCUCAAGUGGCUGUUAGGAGGCAACUUGCAAAGGAGGAUAUGAAAGACGGCAAUUCAAAUCCAAAUAAGACUUCUGGGGAGACCGAAUGAACCUGACGUUGGCUAUUGUACUGUGUCAGCCCGGCUCAGUGGGUUGCGCGCUCUC